rnacentral:rRNA from 1 species
AACGAACGCUGGCGGCAUGCCUAACACAUGCAAGUCGAACGAGACCUUCGGGACUAGUGGCGCACGGGUGCGUAACGCGUGGGAACCUGCCCUUAGGUUCGGAAUAACUCCCCGAAAGGGGUGCUAAUACCGGAUAAUGUCUUCGGACCAAAGAUUUAUCGCCUUUGGAUGGGCCCGCGUUGGAUUAGCUAGUUGGUAGGGUAAAAGCCUACCAAGGCGACGAUCCAUAGCUGGUCUGAGAGGAUGAUCAGCAACACUGGGACUGAGACACGGCCCAGACUCCUACGGGAGGCAGCAGUGGGGAAUAUUGGACAAUGGGCGAAAGCCUGAUCCAGCAAUGCCGCGUGAGUGAUGAAGGCCUUAGGGUUGUAAAGCUCUUUUACCCGGGAUGAUAAUGACAGUACCGGGAGAAUAAGCUCCGGCUAACUCCGUG